rnacentral:rRNA from 1 species
AGAGUUUGAUCAUGGCUCAGAUUGAACGCUGGCGGCAGGCCUAACACAUGCAAGUCGAACGGUAACAGGAAGCAGCUUGCUGCUUUGCUGACGAGUGGCGGACGGGUGAGUAAUGUCUGGGAAACUGCCCGAUGGAGGGGGAUAACUACUGGAAACGGUAGCUAAUACCGCAUAACGUCGCAAGACCAAAGAGGGGGACCUUAGGGCCUCUUGCCAUCGGAUGUGCCCAGAUGGGAUUAGCUAGUAGGUGGGGUAAAGGCUCACCUAGGCGACGAUCCCUAGCUGGUCUGAGAGGAUGACCAGCCACACUGGAACUGAGACACGGUCCAGACUCCUACGGGAGGCAGCAGUGGGGAAUAUUGCACAAUGGGCGCAAGCCUGAUGCAGCCAUGCCGCGUGUAUGAAGAAGGCCUUCGGGUUGUAAAGUACUUUCAGCGGGGAGGAAGGGAGUAAAGUUAAUACCUUUGCUCAUUGACGUUACCCGCAGAAGAAGCACCGGCUAACUCCGUGCCAGCAGCCGCGGUAAUACGGAGGGUGCAAGCGUUAAUCGGAAUUACUGGGCGUAAAGCGCACGCAGGCGGUUUGUUAAGUCAGAUGUGAAAUCCCCGGGCUCAACCUGGGAACUGCAUCUGAUACUGGCAAGCUUGAGUCUCGUAGAGGGGGGUAGAAUUCCAGGUGUAGCGGUGAAAUGCGUAGAGAUCUGGAGGAAUACCGGUGGCGAAGGCGGCCCCCUGGACGAAGACUGACGCUCAGGUGCGAAAGCGUGGGGAGCAAACAGGAUUAGAUACCCUGGUAGUCCACGCCGUAAACGAUGUCGACUUGGAGGUUGUGCCCUUGAGGCGUGGCUUCCGGAGCUAACGCGUUAAGUCGACCGCCUGGGGAGUACGGCCGCAAGGUUAAAACUCAAAUGAAUUGACGGGGGCCCGCACAAGCGGUGGAGCAUGUGGUUUAAUUCGAUGCAACGCGAAGAACCUUACCUGGUCUUGACAUCCACAGAACUUUCCAGAGAUGAAAAGGUGCCUUCGGGAACCGUGAGACAGGUGCUGCAUGGCUGUCGUCAGCUCGUGUUGUGAAAUGUUGGGUUAAGUCCCGCAACGAGCGCAACCCUUAUCCUUUGUUGCCAGCGGUCCGGCCGGGAACUCAAAGGAGACUGCCAGUGAUAAACUGGAGGAAGGUGGGGAUGACGUCAAGUCAUCAUGGCCCUUACGACCAGGGCUACACACGUGCUACAAUGGCGCAUACAAAGAGAAGCGACCUCGCGAGAGCAAGCGGACCUCAUAAAGUGCGUCGUAGUCCGGAUUGGAGUCUGCAACUCGACUCCAUGAAGUCGGAAUCGCUAGUAAUCGUGGAUCAGAAUGCCACGGUGAAUACGUUCCCGGGCCUUGUACACACCGCCCGUCACACCAUGGGAGUGGGUUGCAAAAGAAGUAGGUAGCUUAACCUUCGGGAGGGCGCUUACCACUUUGUGAUUCAUGACUGGGGUGAAGUCGUAACAAGGUAACCGUAGGGGAACCUGCGGUUGGAUCACCU